AUGGAUCUGGUAGGAGUGGCAUCGCCUGAGCCCGGGCCAGCAGCGGCCUGGGGACCCAGCAAGUGUCCGUGGGCUAUCGCUCAAAAUACAAUAUCUAGUUCUUUGGCUGAGGUAAUGAGUGAACAGCUGGCCAAAGAAUUGCAGUUAGAAGAAGCAGCUGCUGUUUUUCCUGAAGUUGCUGUUGCCGAAGGACCAUUUAUUACUGGAUAAAACAUUGAUACUUCCAGUGACCUUAUGCUGGCUCAGAUACUAUUGAUGGACUUUGACAGAGAAUAUGAUGCACAGCUUAGGUGUGAAGAAAAAACAUUCAAUGGAGAUAGCAAAGUUUCCAUUUCCUUUGAGAAUUAUCGAGAAGUGCAUCCUUAUGAAGACAGCGAUAGCUCUGAAGAUGAGGCUGACUGGCAGGUACUCAGGAUGAUCCAUCCCUACAGACCAGCAAAACCGGCUCCCACUCCUAAAAAGGGUUUUAUUGGAAAAGGAAAAGAUAUCACCACCAAACAUGAUGAAGUAGUAUGUGGGAGAAAGAAUACAGCAGGAAUGGAAAAUUUUGCACCUGAGUUUCAGGUAGGGGAUGAAUUGAAAUGGACUUAAAACUAUCAAACCAUGUUUCCGAUGCUUUAUAACAACAUGCCUACUCAGAAGAAUGUCAAAGUGCCCAGCUACAUGAAAAAAAGGAGCAUUCAACAGCAGAAAAAGCAGUUGAUCCUAAGACACGUUUGCUUAUGUAUAAAAUGGUGAACUCUGGAAUGCUGGAGACAAUCACUGGCUGUAUUAAUACAGGAAAGGAAUCUGUUGUCUUUCAUGCAUAUGGUGGGAGCACGGAGGAUGAAAAGGAAGACAGUAAAGUUAUACCUACAGAAUGUGCCCUCAAGGUAUUUAAAACAACACUUAAUGAGUUUAAGAAUCGUGACAAAUAUAUUAAGGAUGAUUUCAGGUUUAAAGAUUGCUUCAGCAAACUACAUCCAUGUAAGAUCAUCUGCAUGUGGGCAGAAAAAGAAAGGCACAAUCUCACAAGAAUGCAGACAGCUGAAAUUUCUUGUCCAACAAUUGUACUACUCAAGAAACACAUUUUUCUUAUGUCUUUUGUUGGCCAUGAUCAAGUUCCAGCUUCUAAAUUAAAAGAAGUAAAGCUCAAUAGUGAAGAAAUGAAAGAAGCCUACUAUCAAACUCUUCAUCUGAUGCAGCAGUUAUAUAACGAAUAUACACUCAUCCACGCUGACCUCAGUGAAUACAACAUGCUGUGGCAUGCUAGAAAGGUCUGGUUGAUUGAUGUCAGUCAGUCAGUAGAACCUACCCAUCCUCAUGGCCUGGAGCUCUUGUUCCAGGACUCAGGAAUGUCUCGCAGUUUUUCCAGAAAGGAGGAGUCAAGGAAGCCCUUAGUGAACUCUUCAAUGCUGUUUCAGGCUUAAACAUCUCAGCAGAUAAUGAAUCUGAUUUUUUAGCUGAGAUAGAAGCUUUGGAGAAAAUGAAUGAAGAUCACAUUCAGAAGAAUGGAAGGAAAGCUGCUUCAUUUUUGAAAGAUGAUGGAGACCCACCAGGACCAUAUGAUGAACAGCACUAAUACCCACUGCUUCAGUGUUAACGCACCAGUGAUCAUCAGCUGCCAAUAGCAAAUGAAGUUAUGGGUGACCUGAAAUACCAAAACAUGAAGAGUGGACAAUGGUGCUUAUGUGCUUUGUCCCCCUUAUAAUCCGUGUGCCAGAUGUGUGGAAUUUUUAGCUCAGCAUUGAGAGAAUAAAAUGUCACUACCUCUCA